GUGCCAGACUCCUACGGGAGGCAGCAGUGGGGGAUAUUGCACAAUGGGGGGAACCCUGAUGCAGCGACGCCGCGUGGGCGAUGGAGCGCCUCGGCGCGUAAAGCCCUAUCAGCAGGGAAGAAAAUGACGGUACCUGACUAAGAAGCCCCGGCUAACUACGUGCCAGCAGCCGCGGUAAUACGUAGGGGGCAAGCGUUAUCCGGAAUUACUGGGUGUAAAGGGAGCGCAGACGGCAGUGCAAGUCUGGAGUGAAAGCCCGUGGCUUAACCACGGGACUGCUCUGGAAACUGUGCAGCUAGAGUGCAGGAGAGGCAGGCGGAAUUCCUAGUGUAGCGGUGAAAUGCGUAGAUAUUAGGAGGAACACCAGUGGCGAAGGCGGCCUGCUGGGCUUUUACUGACGCUGAGGCUCGAAAGUGUGGGGAGCAAACAGGAUUAGAUACCCUCGUA
rnacentral:rRNA from 1 species